rnacentral:rRNA from 1 species
GAUGAACGCUAGCGGCAGGCUUAAUACAUGCAAGUCGAGGGGCAGCAUGACUGUAGCAAUACAGUUGAUGGCGACCGGCAAACGGGUGCGGAACACGUACAGAACCUUCCUUCGAGCGGGGAAUAGCCCAGAGAAAUUUGGAUUAAUACCCCAUAGUACAUUGGAGUGGCAUCACUUUAAUGUUAAAGAUUUAUCACUUGAAGAUGGCUGUGCGGCUGAUUAGGUAGUUGGCGGGGUAACGGCCCACCAAGCCUGCGAUCAGUAACUGGUGUGAGAGCACGACCAGUCACACGGGCACUGAGACACGGGCCCGACUCCUACGGGAGGCAGCAGUAAGGAAUAUUGGUCAAUGGACGAAAGUCUGAACCAGCCAUGCCGCGUGGAGGAUGAAGGUCCUCUGGAUUGUAAACUUCUUUUAUAUGGGACGAAAAAAGGCUUUCUAAGUCGUCUGACGGUACCAUAUGAAUAAGCACCGGCUAACUCCGUGCC